CGGGCCUAUACGUGCAAGUCGAACGAACUCUGGUAUUGAUUGGUGCUUGCAUCAUGAUUUACAUUUGAGUGAGUGGCGAACUGGUGAGUAACACGUGGGAAACCUGCCCAGAAGCGGGGGAUAACACCUGGAAACAGAUGCUAAUACCGCAUAACAACUUGGACCGCAUGGUCCGAGUUUGAAAGAUGGCUUCGGCUAUCACUUUUGGAUGGUCCCGCGGCGUAUUAGCUAGAUGGUGAGGUAACGGCUCACCAUGGCAAUGAUACGUAGCCGACCUGAGAGGGUAAUCGGCCACAUUGGGACUGAGACACGGCCCAAACUCCUACGGGAGGCAGCAGUAGGGAAUCUUCCACAAUGGACGAAAGUCUGAUGGAGCAACGCCGCGUGAGUGAAGAAGGGUUUCGGCUCGUAAAACUCUGUUGUUAAAGAAGAACAUAUCUGAGAGUAACUGUUCAGGUAUUGACGGUAUUUAACCAGAAAGCCACGGCUAACUACGUGCCAGCAGCCGCGGUAAUACGUAGGUGGCAAGCGUUGUCCGGAUUUAUUGGGCGUAAAGCGAGCGCAGGCGGUUUUUUAAGUCUGAUGUGAAAGCCUUCGGCUCAACCGAAGAAGUGCAUCGGAAACUGGGAAACUUGAGUGCAGAAGAGGACAGUGGAACUCCAUGUGUAGCGGUGAAAUGCGUAGAUAUAUGGAAGAACACCAGUGGCGAAGGCGGCUGUCUGGUCUGUAACUGACGCUGAGGCUCGAAAGUAUGGGUAGCAAACAGGAUUAGAUACCCUGGUAGUCCAUACCGUAAACGAUGAAUGCUAAGUGUUGGAGGGUUUCCGCCCUUCAGUGCUGCAGCUAACGCAUUAAGCAUUCCGCCUGGGGAGUACGGCCGCAAGGCUGAAACUCAAAGGAAUUGACGGGGGCCCGCACAAGCGGUGGAGCAUGUGGUUUAAUUCGAAGCUACGCGAAGAACCUUACCAGGUCUUGACAUACUAUGCAAAUCUAAGAGAUUAGACGUUCCCUUCGGGGACAUGGAUACAGGUGGUGCAUGGUUGUCGUCAGCUCGUGUCGUGAGAUGUUGGGUUAAGUCCCGCAACGAGCGCAACCCUUAUUAUCAGUUGCCAGCAUUAAGUUGGGCACUCUGGUGAGACUGCCGGUGACAAACCGGAGGAAGGUGGGGAUGACGUCAAAUCAUCAUGCCCCUUAUGACCUGGGCUACACACGUGCUACAAUGGAUGGUACAACGAGUUGCGAACUCGCGAGAGUAAGCUAAUCUCUUAAAGCCAUUCUCAGUUCGGAUUGUAGGCUGCAACUCGCCUACAUGAAGUCGGAAUCGCUAGUAAUCGCGGAUCAGCAUGCCGCGGUGAAUACGUUCCCGGGCCUUGUACACACCGCCCGUCACACCAUGAGAGUUUGUAACACCCAAAGUCGGUGGGGUAACCUUUUAGGAACCCCAG
rnacentral:rRNA from 1 species